AUUUGCAUUUUGCAACAGAAACAGCUUCUUAAUAUAGAGUAUUGUUUUACAGGCUAAUCUUUUUUUAUGUAAUGUAUUCAAAUGUAAUUAUAAUUAGGAUUGGGAUAAUACAAAAAUAUACUUUUUGCUUCUCAUCCUGAGUGCCAAACUGAUCAACUGCAUCCUAAUGGAACGUUCAAGAUGUGAUUCAGUAACUGAUACGGUAGUUGCAAUAAUUAUUUUUGACCAAAUUGAAUCCACAAAAUAAUUGAAGAAAUGGUCUUCAACUCCAAACCACCGUAUUAAUACCAGUAUACAAUUUAUAAGUCUAUUACAGCUGUUAACUUUAGAUGCUAAAUCAUAUUAUCACAACAUUAUCUUCAAUCAUGAUCAUCUUCCCGUUCAUCGGUAGCCGCUGGGCCGACAAUUUUGGAAACAUAGGUCUGUAGAAUGGAUUAAUAAAUAAUUGUUAUUAGUCCCCCUAUCAAAAUUUCUAUUCAGAAACCAUCCCCAAUAUUCAUCACACAACAUAUUCCUAAAGUUUCAUGCCGUUCUGUCAA